rnacentral:rRNA from 1 species
ACGCUGAAGCUUGGUGCUUGCACCGAGCGGAAGAGUUGCGAACGGGUGAGUAACGCGUAGGUAACCUGCCUCUUAGCGGGGGAUAACUAUUGGAAACGAUAGCUAAUACCGCAUAAAAGUCGGCAUUGCAUGAUGUUGACUUGAAAGGUGCAACUGCAUCACUAAGAGAUGGACCUGCGUUGUAUUAGCUAGUUGGUGAGGUAACGGCUCACCAAGGCGACGAUACAUAGCCGACCUGAGAGGGUGAUCGGCCACACUGGGACUGAGACACGGCCCAGACUCCUACGGGAGGCAGCAGUAGGGAAUCUUCGGCAAUGGACGGAAGUCUGACCGAGCAACGCCGCGUGAGUGAAGAAGGUUUUCGGAUCGUAAAGCUCUGUUGUAAGAGAAGAACGAGUGUGAGAGUGGAAAGUUCACACUGUGACGGUAACUUACCAGAAAGGGACGGCUAACUACGUGCCAGCAGCCGCGGUAAUACGUAGGUCCCGAGCGUUAUCCGGAUUUAUUGGGCGUAAAGCGAGCGCAGGCGGUUAGAUAAGUCUGAAGUUAAAGGCUGUGGCUUAACCAUAGUACGCUUUGGAAACUGUUUAACUUGAGUGCAGAAGGGGAGAGUGGAAUUCCAUGUGUAGCGGUGAAAUGCGUAGAUAUAUGGAGGAACACCGGUGGCGAAAGCGGCUCUCUGGUCUG